rnacentral:rRNA from 1 species
GACGAACGCUGGCGGCGUGCUUAACACAUGCAAGUCGAACGAAGUGGCGAACGGGUGAGUAACGCGUAAUCAACCUGCCUUUCAUAGGGGGACAACAGUUGGCAAUGACUGCUAAUACCUCAUACUGACGGUGCGGUAUGCGGCUGAUUAGCUAGUUGGAGGGGGAACGGCCCACCACGGCGAUGAUCAGUAGCCGGCCUUGGAGGAUGAACGGCCAACUUGGGACUGAGACACUGCACAGACUCCUACGGGAGGAAGCAGUGGGGAAUCUUCCGCAAUGGAGGAAAGUCUGACGGGGCAACGCAGGGUGAGUGGUGACGGCCUUCGGGUUGUAAAGCUCUGUUAAUCGGGACGCGGUACCGGAAGAGAAAGCCACGGCUAACUACGUGCCAGCAGCCGCGGUAAUUC